rnacentral:rRNA from 1 species
GAACCGUCCAAACGUUAUUCGGGAAUUACUGGGGCUUAAAGGGUGCGUAGGCGGCUUGGCAAGUUGGGGGUGUGAAAUCCCUCGGGCUCAACCGAGGGAACUGCGCUCAAAAACUGCCAAGCUAGAGGAAGAUAGAGGUGAGCGGAACUAAUGGUGGAGCGGUGAAAUGCGUUGAUAUCAUUAGGAACACCUGUGGCGAAAGCGGCUCACUGGGUCUUUUCUGACGCUGAGGCACGAAAGCUAGGGUAGCGAACGGGAUUAGAUACCCCGGUAGUCCUAGCUGUAAACGAUGAGCACUAGGUUGGAGGCUCCUCCAUAGGCUUCCGACCGAAGCGAAAGUGUUAAGUGCUCCGCCUGGGGAGUAUGGUCGCAAAGGCUG